AAGAAGAACUAACAAGGAUUCCCUUAGUAACGGUCGAGUGAACCGGGCAGAAGCCCAGCACCGAAUCCCCUCGGCUCUGCAAAGCCUUGCGGGAAAUGUGGUGUUAGGGAGGGCGUGCAGGCGGCAAUCUCUCGCGUCUUAGCGCCAGCGACGACGCGGGUUAACGUGGGGCACUCUAGUUCUCCUUGAUCGGGGCUUCGUACCUUAGCGGGUGUUAGUCCUAUCGGUGCUCCCUCGGUUGUCGUUCGCAACGAUGCCCUUCCCAGGAGUCGGGUUGUGUGGGAAAGCAGCCCAAAGUGGGUGGUAAAUUCCAUCUAAGGCUAAAUACUGGCGUGAGACCGAUAGCGAAGAAGUACCGUGAGGGAAAGUUGAAAAGAACUUUGAAGAGAGAGUUCAAGAGUACGUGAAACCGCUAGCAGGGAAGCGGAUGGGAGCCGAUGUCUCUGUCGGCGGGCGGGAUUCAGCUGGCCGCGUCGCGUCGUUCGCGUAACGAGCUAUGGUAGGUCGUCUUUCCUCUCUGACGACCGCCUCUCCCGACGGCGCGCGUGACCAGUGCACUUCCCGCUCGUUUGAUGCCGUGACCGGUUCGCGUCGUUGUCAAAAGCCGCCCCGGCGCUCUAGGGGGUCGUCGGUGUGCGCUAGCGCGCACCUUCGACUUACUCGGGGACCACGGCUGGCGACGAGCGGACCGUGUGAUAACCUACCCAACGCUGCUUGCAGCGAUCGGCCUCAAUUAUCGGCCGACACUGAGGCCGGCUCGACCGGACGCGCCACGACGGGCGGACUCCAUUCGUCUACGUGAGACCACCCGUCAGGUGCGUAUCGCGCCAGUGAUCGGUCCAGUGGAAGUCGACGGCCGCGCCGACCUUGCGUCGUGUGUGCGGCUGCCCUCGAAGUCUGCGGCGUACUCUGUUACAGAAAGGCUUACCCAUCCGGCCCCGUCUUGAAACACGGGACCAAGGAGUGCAACGUGUGCGCGAGUCAAAGGGACGACCGAAUCCCCAGGGCGAAGUCAACGCGACGGGCGAGAUCCUCUGGAGCAAGGCGUGUACUCUGCCGCCAGCUCGACCAGAGAGGCGCAUCGCCGGCCCUCCUGUACUGCACU
rnacentral:rRNA from 1 species